AAUCAAAAACUACAGCUAACAGUUCCAAAUCAUGAGUCGGAUAAUUUAUUUUAUGAACUGUAGGCUGCCUAGAAGCAUAAGCCAUAACUUUACCAUGCUACACCAACGCACAACCCAAUCCAUGCAUCACAGUAAAUAACAAACCCAUUACUACCCUCUGGCAGGGUCAAAACUAGCACAUAAGUCAACUUGUCUUUCAACUUCUCAAAACU
rnacentral:lncRNA from 1 species